AACGAACGCUGGCGGCAUGCCUAACACAUGCAAGUCGAACGAGACCUUCGGGUCUAGUGGCGCACGGGUGCGUAACGCGUGGGAACCUGCCCUUAGGUUCGGAAUAACUCCCCGAAAGGGGUGCUAAUACCGGAUAAUGUCUUCGGACCAAAGAUUUAUCGCCUUUGGAUGGGCCCGCGUUGGUUUAGCUAGUUGGUAGGGUAAAAGCCUACCAAGGAGACGAUCCAUAGCUGGUCUGAGAGGAUGAUCAGCCACACUGGGACUGAGACACGGCCCAGACUCCUACGGGAGGCAGCAGUGGGGAAUAUUGGACAAUGGGCGAAAGCCUGAUCCAGCAAUGCCGCGUGAGUGAUGAAGGCCGUAGGGUUGUAAAGCUCUUUUACCCGGGAUGAUAAUGACAGUACCGGGAGAAUAAGCACCGGCUAACUCCGUG
rnacentral:rRNA from 1 species